UAUUUUACAAUAAUUGCUUGCGUCUAGGACCAAAUUUUGAAGUUGAUUCCAUGUACAGGUGGCUGUUGCUGCUACUGCUGCUGCCGCUGCAACUAACGGUUAUCAGUGAUAUAAAUGGCAAUUAUGUGAGCACAAGCGUCUUCUGUCAUCGCCAAUGUCCGGCCUAUUUGGGAUCCGAUGGCAGUUGCAAUUUAAAUUCAAUCUCCGCCCAAGGCAAAUCAGUGCAAAGCGUUACGGCGGAGCGUUUGCAGUUGAACCCAGGUUUCAUUCUGCUGGAGAGUGUCUUCGUUUGGUUGGGCGCUCGCCUGUUGAUUGCCUAGCAUCAAUUCAACAUAGCCUUGUGCUAAUUGUGCUACUUAUAUGGAGUACAUGCUGAAUUGGGAAUACUGGAAUCUCUACUAAGUUGACGUGUUGCUGUGAUAUACUUCUUAUUACAGAAAUGUUCAAAGGAGAGCGUUAUU
rnacentral:sRNA from 1 species